AAUUCGAUGCAACGCGAAGAACCUUACCUACCUUUGAAUCCACGGAAUUUUACUGAGAAGUAGAAGUGCCUUCGGGAACCGUGAGACAGGUGCUGCAUGGCUGUCGUCAGCUCGUGUCGUGAGAUGUUGGGUUAAGUCCCGUAACGAGCGCAACCCCUAUCCUUAGUUACCAGCGAGUAAAGUCGGGGACUUUAAGGAGACUGCCGGUGAUAAACCGGAGGAAGGUGGGGAUGACGUCAAGUCCUCAUGGCCCUUACAGGUAGGGCUACACACGUGCUACAAUGGCCGGUACAAAGGGUUGCCAACCCGCGAGGGGGAGCUAAUCUCAAAAAGCCGGUCGUAGUCCGGAUUGGAGUCUGCAACUCGACUCCAUGAAGCUGGAAUCGCUAGUAAUCGUGGAUCAGAACGCCACGGUGAAUACGUUCCCGGGCCUUGUACACACCGCCCGUCACACCAUGGGAGUGGGUUGUACCAGAAGCAGGUAGACUAACCGAAAGGAGGUCGCCUACCACGGU
rnacentral:rRNA from 1 species